AAUAGAUACCCCGGUAGUCCACGCCGUAAACGUUGGAUACUAGGUGUGGCGGUUAUACCAAUGACUGCCGUGCCGAAGCUAACGCAUUAAGUAUCCCGCCUGGGGAGUACGGCCGCAAGGCUAAAACUCAAAGGAAUUGACGGGUCCCCGCACAAGCGGCGGAGCAUGCGGCUUAAUUCGAUGCAACCCGAAGAACCUUACCUGGGUUUGACAUCACGGGAAAAGCUGUAGAAAUACAGUGUCCAUUAGGGCCCGUGACAGGUGGUGCAUGGCUGUCGUCAGCUCGUGUCGUGAGAUGUUGGGUUAAGUCCCGCAACGAGCGCAACCCUUGUCCUAUGUUGCCAGCGGUUCGGCCGGGGACUCAUAGGAGACUGCCGGGGAUAACUCGGAGGAAGGUGAGGACGACGUCAAGGUCAUCAUGCCCCUUAUAUCCAGGGCUGCACGCAUGCUACAAUGGCCGGUACAACGGGCAGCGACCCCGCGAGGGUGAGCGAAUCCUAAAAAGCCGGUCCUAGUUCGGAUUGAAGUCUGCAACUCGACUUC
rnacentral:rRNA from 1 species